rnacentral:rRNA from 1 species
CCUACGGGUGGCAGCAGGGAGGAAUAUUGGUCAAUGGACGAGAGUCUGAACCAGCCAAGUAGCGUGAAGGAUGACUGCCCGAUGGGUUGUAAACUUCUUUUAUAAAGGAAUAAAACGAGGCACGUGUGCCUUUUUGAAUGUACUUUAUGACUAAGGAUCGGCUAACUCCGUGCCAGCAGCCGCGGUAAUACGGAGGAUCCGAGCGUUAUCCGGAUUUAUUGGGUUUAAGGGGAGCGGAGAUGGGUAGUUAAGUCAGUUGUGAAAGUUUGCGGCUCAACCGUGAAAUUGCAAUUGAUACUGGCAGUCUUGAGUGCAGUUGAGGUAGGCGGAAUUCGUGGUGUAGCGGUGAAAUGCUUAGAUAUCACGAAGAACCCCGAUUGCGAAGGCAGCUUACUAAACUGUGACUGACAUUGAUGCUCGAAAGUGUGGGUAUCAAACAGGAUUAGAUACCCCUGUAGUC